GAACUCUGGAGAAGCUCCGCGGACCGGCGUCCUGUUCCGGCCGCGCGCGGAGUGCCGAAGGUGCAAGGCCGAAGGGCCGAAUCUCUCAGGCAAAAGGACAGAAGA
rnacentral:ncRNA from 1 species